rnacentral:rRNA from 1 species
AUUGAACGCUGGCGGCAUGCCUUACACAUGCAAGUCGAACGGCAGCACGGAAGCAAUCCUGGUGGCGAGUGGCGAACGGGUGAGUAAAGUAUCGGAACGUGCCCAGUCGUGGGGGAUAACGUAGCGAAAGUUACGCUAAUACCGCAUACGAUCUAUGGAUGAAAGCGGGGGAUCGCAAGACCUCGCGCGAUUGGAGCGGCCGAUAUCAGAUUAGGUAGUUGGUGGGGUAAAGGCUCACCAAGCCGACGAUCUGUAGCUGGUCUGAGAGGACGACCAGCCACACUGGGACGGAGACCCGGCCCAGACUCCUACGGGAGGCAGCAGUGGGGAAUUUUGGACAAUGGGCGAAGGCCUCAUCCAGCCAUGCCGCGUGCAGGAUGAAGGCCUUCGGGUUGUAAACUGCUUUUGUACGGAACGAAAAGGUUUGGGCUAAUAAGCUGAGCUCAUGACGGUACCGUAAGAAUAAGCACCGGCUAACUACGUGCCAGCCGCCGCCGUAA